UACGAAGGGGGCUAGCGUUGUUCGGAAUCACUGGGCGUAAAGCGCACGUAGGCGGACUUUUAGGUCAGGGGUGAAAUCCCGGGGCUCAACCCCGGAACUGCCUUUGAUACUGGAAGUCUUGAGUCCGAGAGAGGUGAGUGGAACUCCGAGUGUAGAGGUGAAAUUCGUAGAUAUUCGGAAGAACACCAGUGGCGAAGGCGGCUCACUGGCUCGGUACUGACGCUAAGGUGCGAAAGCGAUGGGGAGCAACAGGGAUUAAG
rnacentral:rRNA from 1 species